rnacentral:lncRNA from 1 species
ACUGCAGUCCUCAUGUCAUUGCUACGACUGUUCUCACAGAAGUGACUGAAGUCUGCCCACUUACGAGACUACUGGUUUCUCACUGUCUUACAGCUUCCCACGUCAGGAAACUCCUCUCAUCCCUCCUUCAGGAUAUUUGAGUGUCACCACGCAACGUGCACUGGAAAAUAUUCUUCUCUGUGUCUUUUAACCACUAGUAGAACAUCGAUCUUUCUUCUCAUCUCAGAGAGAAUCUAGCCAGGUGAUGCGUCUGUCCGGUGCUGUGAAACUGAUCAUCUCACUAGUAAUACCUGCCAUGGUCUACAUUGUGGAGGCACGAAUGUCUGAACAAACUCGGGAUGCUGUCAGCCAAAAGCUCUGUGCAAGAAGACCGGAUAGGAUGUCAAAGGUGUCCAUACCGCCUAGCUCAACAAUAGUCUAUCGGGAGGAUCCUCUAGAAGCAAUAGGGAUAUUGCUUGUGGCAUCUCCAUAUACAGUGCCACUAAACCAAAAAUGACUUCAGCCUAUUAAGCUGUUGUGCUUUUUCUUCUUGUUGUUGUUCUUUAGCUCAACAGCAAUAGGUGUCUAUUUGCCUCAGAAUGUUUUAGUCAUCUGUAAAAAUGUUUGUGUCCAUUUGGAUAUGUUUAUGUGCAUGCAUGCAUGCUUUUAGAGUUCAGGCCUCACGAAGGAUUCCCACAACUCUUUUAUUCUGUUCAUGGAAUCCUCAGAAAGUGGAAAGGGAGCACUGUAAAUCCUUAGUAACUCUUGGAAAAUGAAAACAACAAAAUUUCCUUUGGCCAAUCACUGAGACAACUGCAGGUUUUUAAUGGAAAAAAAUAGAGCCAGAAAACUCCCUAAACAAUGGUGAACUUGAAUUCUGAGCACUGUAGAAAAAUCAUACUUGCAUGAUUAAAGAUUAUGGAAACAAAAUAUAGGGA